rnacentral:rRNA from 1 species
UACGUAGGGUGCAAGCGUUGUCCGGAAUUAUUGGGCGUAAAGAGCUCGUAGGCGGUUUGUUGCGUCGGCUGUGAAAACCUGAGGCUCAAUCUCAGGCCUGCAGUCGAUACGAGCAGACUAGAGUGUUGCAGGGGAGACUGGAAUUCCUGGUGUAGCGGUGAAAUGCGCAGAUAUCAGGAGGAACACCGGUGGCGAAGGCGGGUCUCUGGGCAACAACUGACGCUGAGGAGCGAAAGCGUGGGGAGCGAACAGG